rnacentral:misc_RNA from 1 species
GAAAUGCGAUAAUUAAUGUGAAUUGCAGAAUUCAGUGAAUCAUCGAGUCUUUGAACGCACAUUGGGCCCCCUGGUAUUCCGGGGGGCAUGCCUGUCCGAGCGUCAUUGCUGCCCUCAAGCACGGCUUGUGUGUUGGGCUUCCGUCCCUGGCAACGGGGACGGGCCCAAAAGGCAGUGGCGGCACCAUGUCUGGUCCUCGAGCGUAUGGGGCUUUGUCACCCGCUCCCGUAGGUCCAGCUGGCAGCUAGCCUCGCAACCAAUCUUUUUAACCAGGUUGACCUCGGAUCAGGUAGGGAUACCCGCUGAACUUAAGC